GGACCACCAGCAGGCUGGAGGGGACAUAGGUCUCCAGGAUGAAGUACAGAAUGCUCCUCUUCAGCUCAAAGUGGAAGACAAGCCUGGGAUAAUGGCCUUUAAGAGGAAAGACAAUGGAUUCUUCUUUGGCGUUCACAGAGUCUGCAGGAUAUCGACUGAGCUCCACAGCAAGUCUUACCAGCCAUGCAGGGUGGGAGUAAAAGAAAGAAGAUUAAAAUGUUGCUCACUUCAGAGGUCUCCAUAGUGGAUUGUCUGCCUCCAUCUCACCCUGUUCCUUGCAUCUCUUCUGUCAUGCCAGCGCUCCGCAUGUCCUCCUUCAAUGCAUCCAUGAACCUUUCAAACGUAGCCCAGCUCCCUGCUGAUCCAGUGUGGACAUUCAUUCUUAGUGAUAUUUGACAAACAUUUCACACCAGAUGCCCGUCUUGACACUACACUCCCGACACCAGGUGUCCUGUACACCACCUUGUAGCCCUCCUCUGAUAAGGUUUAUGAAUGUGUUUGAAUAGAAAAUAAUCAAAACAUCUCAAGAUGUAUGUAACUUCUUUGCAGUGCAAUGCUACAUGAAACCUACUACAGCUUAGUUUACUUGUAAGUAAGGCGUAAGGAGACUUAAUCAUUGUAUUUCAUGCGAUAAAAGAAUUAGAUGUCUGUGAGACAGCACCAUGAGUUAAAAGCCUUUAUUAUCGUCUUAACUUGUUAUCAAAGGGCAAUUUAACACGCCUCAUGCUAGCACACCAAAUCUGCAUUCAACACCAAAGUCCAGCCGCAGUUGACGUCAGUGUCAUUUUUGCAGGUAUUCAGUCAGGCUAAAUUGAAAAUGGUAUUUUGGCCAGAUGAAAGCCUAUGGGGAACAUGCAGACCUUAAGCAAUUCAUCCAAUACGUCAGUACACUCUGAACCAUAAUGAUGAAAAGUCAUGGAGGCAGUAGAGAGAUUAAUCCUCUUGUGGGCUUAAUUAUGUGUAUCCAAUUUCUGGAAAACCAUUAAAUAUUUGUUAAGACUUUUACAUAAAACCACAACUGAAGGGCUGUUCAGUACUGCCUCGUCUCUGAAGUUAUUAGCCCCUGCUCCUAAAAUGACGUGUUUACAUACAUUAACCAGGUGCAAGUAAUAAUGUGAUUAAAUGUUAUCUGUCUUUUCUCCCUCAAAUCCACCUCUUUAACAAUUGUUCAAAUAAUAAAACAGCCAUUUAAAACAUUUACCGUGUUUGUUGUUUUCCACAACAAAUAUGGUCAAUGUUUCAUCUAAAAGUCGCAUUAAGCAGAGUUUGUAUCCACAAAAAAAACUUGAAGGUUUUAAUUUAUAAGAAAUGCAAGAGGUUGAGUUUGUAUAAACAGCAUAAUCCAGUAUCUUUAACAGGGUACAAUCAAUUAAUUACAGGGAGGAAAUUAUAACAGGUCGGCUACCUUUGGUAACUGAGGUUAAACGAAGGACAGAACCUGAGGUAAUAUGGUAUAUUUUAUGUGAAUGAAUGAGAAAUGUAAUCAGUGGUAGUUUUAGGUUAAUUAUGUUUUCCCUAUUGUAUAUACUGUAAACCAUUAAAAUGGUAAAAAAAGUUCAGUGUAUGUACAAGUAAUUCCAGUGAGGCAAAAGCUCAGACUCAGACUGCUCGAAACCACUCAAUUUCUAUCUGUUAUUUCUCCUCUUGGCUGUCUUUGACAUUAUUGAGAGUUGAUAGCCCUAAUGUGGUUAUCUCAGGCACACAGCUCUGGCUGUGAGCACGGAAGUCGCCUACCUACCUCCCUUUCAAAUCUUCUGUUUGCAAGGGGCAACCAAUCAGGAGAAUAUUAACUUAAGGAAGGGAGAAAGAGGCUAAAAUAGCUUGUUUCAGACAGAAGCUGAAUUAAAGUGCUUCCUCAAGACCUAGUAUAAGAUAAAUAAGGGUUACUUUGAACUGCAAAUCAUCCAAAUCUCUUAAGAGUCAGAGUAGAGUGGAAGAAUACAAAUCUAGAAUUGAA